GAUGAACGCUAGCUACAGGCUUAACACAUGCAAGUCGAGGGGUAACGAGAGGGAAGCUUGCUUUCCUUGUCGACGACCGGCGCACGGGUGAGUAACGCGUAUCCAACCUGCCCCCAACUAGGGAAUAACCUUGCGAAAGUAAGACUAAUACCCUAUAAUUUCCUCAGAUGUCAUCUGACGAGGAAUAAAGAUUUAUCGGUUGUGGAUGGGGAUGCGUCUGAUUAGCUUGUUGGCGGGGUAACGGCCCACCAAGGCAACGAUCAGUAAGGGUACUGGGAGUAAGGUCCCCCACAUGGGAACUGAGACACUGUCCAAAAUCCUACGGGCGGCAGCAGUGAGGAAUAUUGGUCAAUGGGCGGAAGCCUGAACCAGCCAAGUAGCGUGCAGGAGGACGGCCCUAUGGGUUGUAAACUGCUUUUAUACAGGAAUAAAGUUAUCCACGUGUGGUUAUUUGUAGGUACUGUAUGAAUAAGGACCGGCUAAUUCCGUGCCAGCCGCCGCAGUAA
rnacentral:rRNA from 1 species